GGGGGUUGGAAAGUUUUUCGGUCUGGGUGGGCUCGCGGCCUAUCAGCUUGUUGGUGAGGUAAUGGCUCACCAAGGCGUCGACGGGUAGCCGGCCUGAGAGGGUGACCGGCCACACUGGGACUGAGACACGGCCCAGACUCCUACGGGAGGCAGCAGUGGGGAUUAUUGCACAAUGGGCGGAAGCCUGAUGCAGCAACGCCGCGUGAGGGAUGACGGCCUUCGGGUUGUAAACCUCUUUUAGCAGGGAAGAAGCGAGAGUGACGGUACCUGCAGAAAAAGCGCCGGCUAACUACGUGCCAGCA
rnacentral:rRNA from 1 species